ACACUGCAUUCCUUAAAAUUGAGGUCUCCAUCUCCCACCGACUGUAGAAGUUCUGCAUCACUUGCCUGGAAAGCAAGUAUGGAUCCUUCCUGUCCUUUUUCUAUCACACUGGCAAGCCUCAGGAGCAGGCAAGCCCUGAACAGCCAAGUGUAUUAGAUGUGUGUCAGGGUGCGGCGAGCUUUGGAUGGUCUCUCUUUGGUGUGGAGCGCGUAUAAUAAAUAACAGCCAUCAUUUCUACUGAAGCCAUUUAGACCCUGAUCCUGCAAGCUGCUCCGUUCUGGACGACGCUUAUGCCAGCAGACAGCCCAUUAAAGACUAUAAGAUUCUGAACGGAGCUCAUGGCCGAG